rnacentral:rRNA from 1 species
GUGUCAGCCGCCGCGGUAAUACAGAGGUCUCAAGCGUUGUUCGGAUUCAUUGGGCGUAAAGGGUGCGUAGGUGGCUUGGUAAGUCGGAUGUGAAAUCCCGGGGCUCAACCCCGGAACUGCAUUCGAUACUGCUGAGCUGGAGUACUGGAGAGGAGAUUGGAAUUUACGGUGUAGCAGUGAAAUGCGUAGAUAUCGUAAGGAAGACCAGUGGCGAAGGCGGAUCUCUGGACAGUUACUGACACUGAGGCACGAAGGCCAGGGGAGCAAACGGGAUUAGAUACCCCUGUAGUCC